rnacentral:rRNA from 1 species
CACGUAGGGCGCGAGCGUUGUCCGGAAUUAUUGGGCGUAAAGAGCUCGUAGGCGGCCUGUUGCGUCCGCUGUGAAAGCCCGGGGCUUAACCCCGGGUCUGCAGUGGAUACGGGCAGGCUUGAGUUCGGUAGGGGAGACUGGAAUUCCUGGUGUAGCGGUGAAAUGCGCAGAUAUCAGGAGGAACACCGGUGGCGAAGGCGGGUCUCUGGGCCGUAACUGACGCUGAGGAGCGAAAGCGUGGGGAGCGAACAGG